UGCGCUCUCCAGUCGAAGUCUUUGUUCUUCCCCAGUCUAGUAAGAUUCGUAUUUACUUGUGGGAUCGAAUGCCCAUCCUGUAAGUCGAGUUUGCUUUUUCAGCCCUCCUUUCGGAUGAUGAGCGUCUUGGAUAUGUCCCCAAUUCACGCCUGGUUGGUCACCUAUUAUAUUCCCAGUAACCGGUAUCCCUGGUGUUCCUUCCUCCUGCUCCCUAUUAUGAC
rnacentral:lncRNA from 1 species